rnacentral:rRNA from 1 species
GACGUAGGGCGCGAGCGUUGUCCGGAUUUAUUGGGCGUAAAGAGCUCGUAGGCGGCUUGUCGCGUCGACUGUGAAAACCCGUGGCUCAACUGCGGGCCUGCAGUCGAUACGGGCAGGCUAGAGUUCGGUAGGGGAGACUGGAAUUCCUGGUGUAGCGGUGAAAUGCGCAGAUAUCAGGAGGAACACCGGUGGCGAAGGCGGGUCUCUGGGCCGAUACUGACACUGAGGCACGAAAGCGUGGGGAGCAAACAGG